CCAGGAACUCCGAUUUAUGAAACUGUGAACAGGGUGCUUGGGUUUGUCGAACCAGCAUUUUUGUAUCGAUCAAGGCGCAGACUACCGGGUAGAGGAAGAUUUGACCCACAUGAUGCUGCAAGACGCUUUAAUACUCAGUGAUAACUAGUUUGUGUGUAUUUGAAUUUUAAUUUGUUUACUUUUAAAUUUUGUAAUGUGUUAAGUCACUUUGAUUAGAUUGUAAUAUGUUUGGGACAUCUAACUUU
rnacentral:lncRNA from 1 species